UGAUUCUAAAGUCUAUAAAUAAGCUAUUGGGCUUCUCUAACAUAUUAAGCAUCACGAAAAUACAUAUUUGAGAAACCCUAGAGGCUCGGAUUUCAUCUAAAACCUAUUUUCUACAAAAAGCCUCUUUUAGAUCAAAUCGAGAUAUUGAAAUUUGAUAUUAAUAUGUCGAUUUGAUCUCCGCUUCGCUUGGAGUUCUAUUCCUUGGUUUUCUACAACACUCCAAAGCGAAGGAUCACCAUAUUCAUGAUAUUCUUCAUGGUGGCGUCGUGGAUUUGGCGUAUUUGACGGCGGUUCGUGGAUUCGGAUCGUGGGCUCGUGGAUUCAAGUGGCGUCGUGGAUUCGGCGUGAUUGAAGCUUCGUGGAUUCGAAGUGGAGGCGUUCGUGGAUUCGGACGUGAGGGCGUGGACAACCCGGAGGGUAGCGCGAAGAUUCAUAGGAGGUUAAGAGAGGUAGAGUCCGUGGAGUAGGUAAUCACCUUGUAAUCUUUUCUCUUAGUGAAUUGUGUUUUUCGCGUGUUGGUCCCGUGGGUUUUUCUCCAAGUUGGAGUUUUCCCACGUAAAUCUCGGUGUGCUUUUUAUUUUCCGUAUUUAUUUUUAUUGCAUCGAGAUUUGUGGUUUUUGGCCUUUCACCUAUUCACCCCCCCUCUAGGUGAUAGAUACAAUAUAGAUAGAUCCUUGGGCUCCUCAAAACUUUCAACAUGGAGAGGAUUUGAUUUGGUUGUGGACCCUAGUGAUAGUGCUUCCUCAC
rnacentral:lncRNA from 1 species